rnacentral:pre_miRNA from 1 species
AUAACCAACAUUAAUUAUCCCUGGGGCCAUGGGAUAAACAAAAACUCUGCAAAACCAAGUUAGCACACCCUAGAAUGGUUCUAGCACAAUUACUAACCUAUGGCUCUGAUACCAAUUGAUGGGAAAAACCU